rnacentral:rRNA from 1 species
GUGCCAGCAGCCGCGGUAAUACGUAGGUGGCAAGCGUUAUCCGGAAUUAUUGGGUGUAAAGCGCGCGUAGGCGGUUUUUUAAGUCUGAUGUGAAAGCCCACGGCUCAACCGUGGAGGGUCAUUGGAAACUGGAAAACUUGAGUGCAGAAGAGGAAAGUGGAAUUCCAUGUGUAGCGGUGAAAUGCGCAGAGAUAUGGAGGAACACCAGUGGCGAAGGCGACUUUCUGGUCUGUAACUGACGCUGAUGUGCGAAAGCGUGGGGAUCAAACAGGAUUAGAUACCCUGGUAGUCAAGGGCG